GAUGAACGCUAGCGGCAGGCCUAACACAUGCAAGUCGAGGGGUAGAAGGAGCUUGCUCCUUUGAGACCGGCGCACGGGUGCGUAACGCGUAUGCAAUCUACCUUGUACAGGGGAAUAGCCCAGAGAAAUUUGGAUUAAUGCCCCAUAGUAUAUAACCUUCGCAUGUUGGUUAUAUUAAAGUUCCAACGGUACAAGAUGAGCAUGCGUCCCAUUAGUUAGUUGGUAAGGUAACGGCUUACCAAGACGAUGAUGGGUAGGGGUCCUGAGAGGGAGAUCCCCCACACUGGUACUGCGGCACGGACCAGACUCCUACGGGAGGCAGCAGUGAGGUAUAUUGGGCAAUGGUCGCUAGACUGAACCGGCCAUGCCGCGUGCAGGAAGACGGUCCUAUGGAUUGUAAACUGCUUUUAUACAGGAAGAAACCCUCCCACGUGUGGGAGCUUGACGGUACUGUAGGAAUAAGGAUCGGCUAACUCCGUG
rnacentral:rRNA from 1 species